GCCACUCCCUCCUCCUUUGGUCAUUUUUCUCACACUCCACUCCCUCACACUCUCCUCUACCUCUCCCCCACGAAAAUGCUGCUGCCCCUUGCUCCCAUGGCCGGCCAUGGCCAUGGAAGGCACUCCAAGAUGAAGCUCCCUCCUCCCUCAAGCUCCUCCUCACCAUGAGAGCCUCCCUCUCCUUCUUCUCCCCAACCCUAGAUGGUUUUCUCUCCUCUUCCUCUUCCUCCAUUGCUAAGAUUGGAUCUUGAUGCAGGUGCAUGUUGGUCCAAGCAUGGAGAAGCUUGAGCUAUCCUCAGAUCUGAAGUUCUUGAGCAAAAUCCAAAUCGAGUGAUUCAAAGUUCCGCAGAUAGAUACGGAAAAGAUCUACAACUUGGCAUUGGUCUCAUCCUCAAAUUCGUUACGGAUUGUCCGUGGUGAAAGCCCUCUUCAAUACCUUCAUUUUGGCGGUGGUUUCACUUCGAUUGACCUCCUGAAACUGAAAUGGUUCACAGGUCAAGAUCUGGUCAGAUCUGACUUUGUCGAAUUAAACCAGGAGCUUGGGAACGAAUUUUUGAAUGGAACCAAUUGGGGGUACUUAGCUUGUGCCAUGGUGAUACCGAGAGAGGCAAUUGCUAAGUUGUGAUACUCUCAUACCUUUACUAGAUGCGAACGAUUCCGGAGAAGAUGAAGAAGUGGAUCGGACAAGGAUUUUAUUUAUGUUGUUGGGAUUCUUAUAUUGAUGGAGUUGAGGAAGUACAGGGACAAAUAAGCCAAGGCAAGCCAUCUUUUGAUCUCUGAUCCGGUGUCUAGUUGGAUGUCAUUUGUUGAUGUUCAAAGCACCUUCAUUCUAUGUGUGUUAUUAUCUCUAUUUAUGUCAUCUAUGUGUGUUUGCAAGUGGGGUACUCCCUAGUGGUGAUGCUCCACUAUUUGCCCUUGUGUUAUGGGAUGCAUGGUAGCAUGGCCGUGCUAUCCCACUUGGUUAUCUUGUAUGCUCAACUUGAGCAUGUUCCAUCUCAAGAUAGUAACUUACACCACACCCACCCCAUUUGUAGUAUAGAGGUAUCAUUGUCAUGAUCUUGGUGUAUUCUCAACUUGAGAGGAGUAUGCCGUGUACCAUCUUGGAGAAUAUGUUGGAUAUUGACACUCCACUAUCUAAGUUGUGUAGUUAGCACCACAAAUCUGAGAGUAUAUUCCUCCUUGUGUUGUCAUAAUACAUGCUUAACUUAAGCAAGUAUGAUCCACUCCACUACCCCUUUAUACCUCAUCUAUGGCGGGAUGACUCUCAUCUCGGCCGUAGUGCAAUACUAGUUCAACUCAUGAAACUAUAGGUUGGGAACCCCUCAAGGUUUACCUUGUUGUAAAUGUUUAUGAAAACCUUGGGUGAGGCAACCUUACCCAAGCGUAUGGUUUAUGAAAGAAAAGGAUCUUGACAAAGAUGGUUGGAAAGAGGAAAGUGUGGGUGUGACUUGGGUUUUUGAGAAAAACGACACAUGGUUCUUUGUAUUCGCCCGGAACAAUUACACAGCGCAACCACAUUACUCCAACGUGGGCACGGGGCUUAGCUUGACGUUUGUUCUUCUUAGCAUGAGGCACCGCACAACUAUACAAGGGUACGGUUACCCCCGAGUCCGGGUUGUCAUUGUUGGGACAAUAGUAUAACGGGAGGCCUUCGGGGCUGACCCGUCCGGAAGACACUAUGGGUCUCCUGGCUUGGCGGUGGAGCCACGCUCAAGAGGAGGUGAGCUGCCACGGUGCCGGGGAGGUACAUACUCCAUAGGGUAGGACCUCGUGUUAAGUUGAAUGGGCGAAAGGCUUCGACUGAUUAUCCGAGACUCGCAUACUUUCGUAUG